AGAGGUGGCAAGCGUUGUUCGGAAUUACUGGGCGUAAAGGGCGCGUAGGUGGCCUUCUUAGUCAGACGUGAAAUCCCCGGGCUUAACUCGGGAACUGCGUCUGAUACUGGAAGGCUGGAGUUCGGGAGAGGAAUGUGGAAUUCCAGGUGUAGCGGUGAAAUGCGUAGAUAUCUGGAGGAACACCGGUGGCGAAGGCGGCAUUCUGGACCGAAACUGACGCUGAGGCGCGAAAGCCAGGGGAGCAAACGGGAUUAGAUACCCCGGUAGUCCUGGCCCUAAACGAUGAGUGCUUGGUGUGGCGGGUAUCGAUCCCUGCCGUGCCGAAGCUAACGCAUUAAGCACUCCGCCUGGGGAGUACGGU
rnacentral:rRNA from 1 species